UCUUCACGUGAUAAGAUGAGAAAAAGUUUGUGAGCAUAAUUAGCAUAUUUAAUUAGGUGAAUCUAAAAACACCCAACUCAAGAACUUGAGAUGGUAACACCAAUCGUUUCUCAUUGACAUUUACAAGCUAACAUAUAUAGUAUGUUUUCAUAGUUCUUAUAUUUAGACAGACCAAACACUUCAUUUGACACAACUAAUUUCUCUCUAUUUUUC
rnacentral:lncRNA from 1 species